GUGAGUUCUCACGAGAUCUGCUGGUUUAAAAGUGUGUAGCACCUCUCCCUUCACUCUCUUUCUCCUGUUUGGCCGUGUACCAAGUUCCUGCCUGUCUUCUGUCUUCACCCGUGACUUGCCUCAAGUAGUUGGCUCCUUUCCCACCGGCUACUUUGUAACUGCGAAUAUGACAACAUGACGGUGAUUCACAGAUGCCAAAAUAUGACGAGCAGAGCAAAUCUGUGUUCCAGAUAUGAUAAGAUAAAACCCCAUCGUAAGUGGAGAAGCACCUGCAUUGUGAUGUUAGCUCCAUGCACGCACUUCAUCCGUGCUUUGCCUGAUGCGUCUCUUCCAUUUGGCCGUUUUUGAGUGGUAUCCUUUAUAAGAAUAACCCAGUAAUAGUUGAAUUUGGUGAGAGGCCCAAGAGCCCAUGCUGAGUCUCGUCCUUCUAAAGCCCUUCACUAAGCAUUGUGUUGUUCAGUGAAUGUUCCUCCUCUGGAUUCACAUUACUACUCACUAGCACCUCAUUUGACGGUGGAUGUAGACUCAUUUGCAUGCUUAUUUCCUGUUUUAUGUUUAUGCCGACCUUCUUAAAUAAAAUAAAUCCUUUAUGAGUUCUACCUCAUUUUAUUCCCCUUUUUCACCACUUUGACCAUACUGAUUCCCCCAAAACCUGUUCUAGAAAAUGUAUUUAAUAAUGUUGAUGAUGACAAUGAUGUCUAAUGUCAAUAAUGACAUGGUAAAAAAUUUCUGUUUCAGGAAUUUUUUUUUACAUUCAAUAAAGAUACAAUACAUAGAUGAAGUAUAAUUUUAAAACAUGGUCACUUUCGGAAUUCUGACAAUCUUUGAAAAACCAAAAGAGGCAAAAUGGAAUUUUGAUCCUGAUAUACCUUAUCCAAACUUGAAAGAACAAGUGAUUAAGAUAACAAAGAAGACUUGAUAUUCUUGAUAUUUGGUCUGUGAUGGAAUGGCCUGGGAGACAACCCAAUAAGCAGAGAGCUGGCCAGUAAGGUAUACACUGGAAAUAAGCAUUUAAUUACUGUACCCAAAUAUCAUAAAUUUAGAGUAAUGAAAAUAAUAUCUGAGGUCAUUUAACUUGGAUGAUAUCUCCAUUUCUGAUUUGUCCUACAUGUAUUGGGACAAAUGUUAUAUUUAUGCCAAAUAAUCACAAUAUCUUUUAUAGGACAAUCAAUUGUUUAAUUUCUUUCCAAUAUUUAAGAUGGCUUGUAAGUAAGAGGUGGGAAAAACUAGUUUGAAAACAAUAAAUUUCUUUUUUUAACACUGUAAUCAAUAUAUGGGGAUAGUUUUAAUAUUAAAAAUCUUAAAAUACAUUUAAAAAUAUCCCCAAUAUAUGGGGAUAGCUUUAAUAUUAAAAAUCACUAAGAAAUUGAAGGCAGGUUAAUUAGACUUCACAAUUAUAGGCAUGUGUCAGUGACUUCCAUCCAUACCCCUUUUUUUGUAUUAGCGAUGCUCUCUGC
rnacentral:lncRNA from 1 species